UAAGUGAUUAAGAUUAGUCUCACUGGUAAGAGACAUGAGCUUUCUGGUGUGCCAUGAGGACAUACUGCCUCCAUUGUAUGUUCUUCCAAAACUCUGUAACCUGAACUGGUUACAAGAAAUAGCAGGCUGGGGCUGGAGAGGGCUCAGCAGUUAAGAGCACUGGCUGCUCUACCAGAAGACCCAGGUUCAAUUCCCAGCACCCACAUGGCAGCUCACAACCAUCCAUAAUUUCAGUUGAAGGGGAUCUGACGCCCUCCUCUGGCCUCUUCAGGCACUGCAUGGAUGUUAUGCACAUACAUACACUCAGACACAAAUAAUUUUUUAAAAACAUAUUUUUAAAAAGAAACAUUAGGUAAAUAAAAAAAGACUUUCUAUGAAAUGCCUAACCCAGCAUUUUCUUGACUUCUGUCCUCUGCAGGUACACUGUAAUACACUCCCUAUGCUCAGAAUAAAUAAAUAUAAUAAGAAACUUUCAAAAUUAUUUCCAAACAAAAAGGGCUAAAAAUAUCCCUACCAGCAUUGUUUUUAUGUAUUUGGCUGAAAAAGAAGCUUGCCAUUAACAAGGUAAUGAUAGCUGAGAGGAAAAAUGGCUGUAUGCAGCAGGCUCUAGGCCAAACUGGGCUAGACGAAUGCACACACACAUGCCUAUAACAGAAAACUAAAACAGAAAAACUUAAAGAUUAGAGAAGAUGAGAAAGGUGGAGGUGGUGGGUACUGGAGUCAAGGUGCCAGGACUCACAGGUGAGGAAGCUGGUUUGCCCAGGCUUGGCAAAUACAAGAACCUCCUAGGAAGUCAGCCAUGGUAGCAUGUUGCAGCACUCAGCAGGCAGAGGCAGGUGGACCCCUGUGGGUUUGAGGCCAGCCAGUGAGGCUACAUAUACAUAAUGAGUUGUAGGACAGCCAAGGCUGUAUGGAGAACAUUAUCUCAGAGAGAAAGGAGGAAUGUAAACCCCUAAACAGAGAGGCAAAGCCUGUCACUAUGCAAGUGAGCUGAAGGGCUGGGCGCCAAAGCUCAAGAAGAGGAGAUGUCCUUGACCAAAAGGACACCUCUGCCACCUCCUGGCUGUGGCCAAACUCAGGCCAAAAGCUACAGGCCUUGGAUUAGGGACUGCUUUUUUCAUUCCUCAGCUGGGAAACUCAUCCAUUACCCAAGUUCCAGGUCCCCCUGUGCACUGCAAAGUCAGACUCAUCAGAAAAUGAAAUAAGCUCCAUUUAUCCAUUCUGUGUGGCUUGUAUUUGAGAGGCAGUGUAGUCUGUUUUUGAAAUGAGCCUUAAACAGCAUUAGAGUGUCUCUCUCUCUCUCUCUCUCUCUCUCUCACUCACUCUGUAUGUGUGUGUGUGUGUGUGUGUGUGUGUGUGUAUCUGAAAGAGAGAGAGAUAUGAAUACACACCUGCCGCACACAUGCCCUGUUGACUGCUUACCAUGUGGCAGAGACUGUGGUAAACUCGUUAUGAUGUCAUCUCACUUAAUCCCCCCACAGCCUUCUGAGACAGGUGCUAUGACAUCCCUCAUGUUAAAGGUGAAAAUGGCGAGCACAGAGGUUAGGGACUUGGUGAAACUCACAUAGUAGAACUUGGGCGGCUGCAUCUCAGUGUCAGAGAGCCUGCCCUGCAUGGACCAGGCCCUGGCUUCAGCUUUACCUGUGGAGGAAACCACAUAGAGAAAUAAAUGGCAGAAAUAGGACUUAAUUCAAAAUCAUACCAUUUGUUUUAAGCCUUACAGUACUGCCUGUUCCUGAUAUGCAUGAAUGUGGGGACACACACACACACACACACAGAAUUAUCUCCCUUUCUUAUGACUUCCUCGUCCUCGACCAGGUUUGUUUGGCCCUGAACUUCCAGAUCGAUUGAGGGACAUUUCUUUUUCACAUACAUAUCAAGAUUCUGAAUCUCACCCCUUAUUGAAAAUCUGGCCAGAGAGCCAAGCUUCUGGCGUGAAGCCCAGGCUGCAGCCAUGAGUGAUUGGAAUCAUGCUGAAGCUACGUCAGGCAUACAGGCCAUGGACCCAAACAGGCAGCUGCUGUCAGCCACGGCAAAGAUGAACUGGCAUCAUCUAAGGUCACCACUAACCAGCAGGCAGGCCGUGGUCAGAUCCUCCCUCCCACGCGUUCAGGGGAGGUGGUUCAGAACGCUGGAUAGCUCCCAAAGGCACCCUGCCUGUCCUGGCUAAGUCUGCAGACCCUGGAGACCCACACUGUUCAGGCUUGAAUAGCCUUCCUCAACACAUCACUCGCUGCAAAGGGCCUCUUCUCUUUCCAAGACUAUCCCUGUGGGCGCAAAGUUCCUCUCCGCUUCAGCACCUCCCCUACCUCCCGAAACACUUCUUAGCCUGACUGAACUCUCUUGAGGUCACCAUCAUUCUCAGACUAAAGUCUUGGAGAUAAUCAGGCCAUCUCCUGAGCUGUCUGUGGCCAGAAUCUGAUACCCAAAUACCUCAAGGCUGCAGGACUCUGUGGAGAUGGGGAAACUAAGGUCCUUUGUCUCCUCUUUAAUCAGAGCAUGAGGAAGGAACCCAAAGAGAGCAGACACUGAGCAAAUUUCAGAGCCUGAAAAAAGAGCCAUCCAUGGCUACUCCCAUAACCUCAGGCUGGUGAUGAGAACACAUUUUCUAUGAGUCUGUGCUUUUAGGGGACGGGCACUGACAUAAAGGAGAGGAGCUUUUCUAGUAGAAGCAGAAAGCACUGGUGAGUCUGGAAGCAGCUCUUCUGCCACCCCACCCUAGCCAUGUGUGUGACCCCAAGCCCAUGGCUGGGGCUUUGAUUGAGCGCUGGCAGGGGAAAGGGUCCCCGCUCAUUCUUCACGUGAUACUGGAGGGAGUAGAGGGUGUGAAAGGGUAGAAGAGUUCAACCAUUUACAGGGGUUGAAUUUUCUAGUAGAAAGCUCCUCUUCUGCCUCCAGGUCUCUCCCAUGGCUAGCAAAUGAGGUAAGCACAUAAACUACUUGGAAUGAAGCCAAGCAGAAAUGCUCAGGGGCCAUUCCUCUGACUUUGUGCAGUGAUCCUCCUCCUGAGAUCUUGUUUUCUUUGACAGUCUCAGGUUCCUGGAUCCUUUAGUGAGGGAUCUGUCAUACCCCAUGGUCACUGCCUGCCUUAUACCUCAACGAAUGUACCAGUCAAAGAAAUUGCCCUAGUUAUUGAAAUAGUAUACUCCACCCAACAGCCAAACAUACAUAGGCUGGUUCACUAUUUUAGCACCAACCAGACACAGUGAGGCAGGAAGGGUAGGGAAAAAACAUUUGUCAUCUACUGAGACAUGAGUGGACCUGAUGAGUCUAGGCUGCAAUAACUAAGGUUGCUGCCACCCAGUUUGAAGUGUUGUUAGGUAGCACUCCUGAAGAUGGAGCUACUGACAAUGUAGUAACUGACUAAU
rnacentral:lncRNA from 1 species